CAAUGCUCUACAGAUAUGGAUUGAAAUUCCUGCUACAGCUGAAUGCAUUCAUCAUAUAUUGGUUACUGGUUAGUGUCUCGAACCGAUAUUAAUUAGUUCAUCAUAUGUUGAUGACACGGCAAUUAAAACUGUUAUUCGAUAUCGGUUGUAAAUGAAUCGGUAUUAAAGUCCCAGAACGGGAGCCCCGUCGUUCAUCAUAUGUUGUGGUUGUAGCGCGCGUGAUACUUGUGGAGGUUGUGGAGGCGUGAGGUGCAGCCACCCCCAGCCUGGAUCUCUGCUGUGCAAAUGAACCAACAGAAACUCACGAGCGGGUGCUUAAUUUUCAACGGGGGUACGGGGUAACAUUUCGGUUCGAGAACACUUUUUAUCGUUUCGUGUUCGUCCUACUGCUACUCUCUCUUGACCUGAAAACUGCAUUGCAGGAUGUGUUUUGGGUUGAACCCGAUCAAGAGAGAGAGUACCUUGUUUGUUUGGUUGCAGCUGAAUGCACAAGAGCUGUGCUGAUCGAUCUUGUGCCCGCCCGAGGCAUGGAAACGGUCGCCUGGCUCUUCAUUGUUAGCGUGACAUGUAUGUUCAGGGCCUGUCUAGAAGAACGGUGCUAUGCGCUGCGUGUUUCCGGCGUCACAUAACAACGGAAACAGAUUCAGAGGAAUACAAUACUCAUGAAUGAAUCAGCUAGGCCGGCCGGCGGCAGCAGCAGCAAUAGAGGAACAUGAGAACGUGGCCGCCCUGCAAAGCCGCCGCGCCGCGUGUAAAAAAAGCUUGGAAGCGCGGAUGAAAUGUCCUGGACACGCAGCACGCGU
rnacentral:lncRNA from 7 species